AAAAACUUAGUUAAAUUAAUAACAUUAACUUGUCAAGUUAAAAUUAUUAGAAAUAAUAGUUUUUA
rnacentral:tRNA from 1 species